UACUGCAUCAGGAACUGAUUGGG
rnacentral:miRNA from 1 species